rnacentral:rRNA from 1 species
AGCGAACGCUGGCGGCAUGCCUAACACAUGCAAGUCGAACGAGACCUUCGGGUCUAGUGGCGCACGGGUGCGUAACGCGUGGGAACCUGCCCUUAGGUUCGGAAUAACUCCCCGAAAGGGGUGCUAAUACCGGAUAAUGUCUUCGGACCAAAGAUUUAUCGCCUUUGGAUGGGCCCGCGUUGGAUUUGCUAGUUGGUAGGGUAAAAGCCUACCAAGGCGACGAUCCAUAGCUGGUCUGAGAGGAUGAUCAGCCACACUGGGACUGAGACACGGCCCAGACUCCUACGGGAGGCAGCAGUGGGGAAUAUUGGACAAUGGGCGAAAGCCUGAUCCAGCAAUGCCGCGUGAGUGAUGAAGGCCUUAGGGUUGUAAAGCUCUUUUACCCGGGAUGAUAAUGACAGUACCGGGAGAAUAAGCUCCGGCUAACUCCGUG